rnacentral:rRNA from 1 species
AUGCCUCGUCAUCUAAUUAGUGACGCGCAUGAAUGGAUUAACGAGAUUCCUACUGUCCCUAUCUACUAUCUAGCGAAACCACAGCCAAGGGAACGGGCUUGGAAUAAUUAGCGGGGAAAGAAGACCCUGUUGAGCUUGACUCUAGUCUGGCAGUGUAAGGAGACAUAAGAGGUGUAGCAUAAGUGGGAGAUAUAUUAGUUUCGGCUAAAUAUAUCAAAAAUGAAAUACCACUACUCUUAUUGUUUCCUUACUUACUUGAUAAAAUGGAACGUGUAUCAUUCACUUAGCCAUUACACGGAUAUAUUUAUAUAUUUUAUGGUAUUUUGUUUUGAUGCGAGCUUCUUGUUUAAAGUACCAAGAGUUUGUUAUAUACACCAAACAAAUAUCAAUUAAAUUUGCUUUCCAUUAAUAAUGGUUUGUUAAAUAUUAAUUGAAUUUGGUAUAACUAUUAUACUCAGGUAUGAUCCAAUUCAAGGACAUUGCCAGGUGGGGAGUUUGACUGGGGCGGUACAUCUCUCAAAUAAUAACGGAGGUGUCCCAAGGCCAGCUCAGUGCGGACAGAAACCACACAUAGAGCAAAAGGGCAAAUGCUGACUUGAUCUCGGUGUUCAGUACAUACAGAGACAGCAAAAGCUCGGCCUAUCGAUCCUUUUGGUUUAAAGAGUUUUUAACAAGAGGUGUCAGAAAAG